rnacentral:rRNA from 1 species
AGUGAACGCUGGCGGUAGGCCUAACACAUGCAAGUCGAACGGCAGCACAGUAAGAGCUUGCUCUUACGGGUGGCGAGUGGCGGACGGGUGAGGAAUACAUCGGAAUCUACUUUCUCGUGGGGGAUAACUUAGGGAAACUUACGCUAAUACCGCAUACGACCUACGGGUGAAAGCAGGGGAUCUUCGGACCUUGCGCGAUUGAAUGAGCCGAUGUCGGAUUAGCUAGUUGGCGGGGUAAAGGCCCACCAAGGCGACGAUCCGUAGCUGGUCUGAGAGGAUGAUCAGCCACACUGGAACUGAGACACGGUCCAGACUCCUACGGGAGGCAGCAGUGGGGAAUAUUGGACAAUGGGCGCAAGCCUGAUCCAGCCAUACCGCGUGGGUGAAGAAGGCCUUCGGGUUGUAAAGCCCUUUUGUUGGGAAAGAAAAGCAGCAGGUUAAUACCCCGCUGUUCUGACGGUACCCAAAGAAUAAGCACCGGCUAACUUCGUG